CACUGUUCUAAGGGCUUUACACGUAAUCAUUUUAUCCUCCCGAACCUUAAGGUAUGGCCACGAUUGUACUCAUUUCCCUGACAAGAAGGCUGAGGCACAGAGGGUUAACUGGUGUGGUCCAAGUUCCAGAGCUGCAGGUGGCAGAGGGGACGCCAGGCCCUGCUCUUGGCCCCAGGCCCCAACUCGAAGUCACUACCCUUGGAGCGUAGGGGCUCAGGAAUCGGGAUUUUUAGCUCCUCAUGAUGCCAAGAUAGCUGUCACAACUCUUGCCUAGGACACUUUCAGUGAGCAACCCCGGGAACAUCACUGACACUGUGGCACAGCCCUGGGAUGGCCUGCACACAGAAGAUGACAUGAGGGUGUUCCAUGGAGUAUGCGGCAGCCCUGUGUGCUGGGACAGAAAGGGACUGGAGAAAAGGAACACGUUUGUUUUUACUCAACCAGAACUGCGCAAGUCCUCUCUCAGCGAAUACUGGUUCGUCUGUACGCAUGCCAGCACAGCUGCCAACCUGGAACAUAGCCCUUUCCAAGAAAGCCCAGGAGAGCAGCCAACUGUUGACUCACCUGCCAGACACGGGGAUACUGCAGCCAAGAUGCCUCGGGGCCCUUGCAGGAGGAUUGGCAGGGCAGGCCCAUGGUGGGGCACACACACACGGCUCUGUGGGGCGCUUCAAAGGGCCAGGCCUUCUUUCCUGAGUGCUUCAAGUUCCAGAGGUUAAAGACAUCCAGAUGGGCUUGUCCCCUCCCCCUUCCCCUCUGUUCCUCAGCCCUGGAAGUUUCUGCAGGAGACGGUCUUCCUCUGCAUUUCCAUUUGGGUGGCAGGCAGGAUUCUAAGAAAGCCCCCAUGAUUUUCUGCCCCCACUCCUGCCCUGGUGUGCACUCUCCAUCGGGACUGAGAAUGUAAUGGACGGCACUGCCCUGGUUAGAUUGUAUUAUACGAUGCAGCUGACCUUAAAGAAAGGCGAUGUUCCUGGUGGUCUGGUCCAAUCACAAGAUCCCUUUAAAGGCAGAGUUUUUGUCUGGCUGGUGACAGAAGAGCAUGUGAGAGGUUCAAAGCUGGAGGGUUUGACCCACCCUUUCUGGCUCGAAGAUGGAGGAAGCCCCAUGGCAAGACAUGCAGGCAGCUUCUAGAAGCUGAGUAGCCAUCAACUCACGUCCAGCAAAGAACCAGGGGCUUCAGACCCACAAUAGCAAGGAGUUGAAGUCUCUCAUCGAUGAACAUGAACUUGCACAUGGCUUCUUCCUUAGAGCCUCAGACAAGAACUGGGUCCAGUGAGCACCUUGACUUCAAAUUUCUGAUACCCUGAGCAGCAAAAACAUCUGAGUUUACCCGGACUGUGACCUACGGAAUGCCACCAGGUUUCAAGGACACUGAAGGGGAGGUCUGCUGGGGAAGAACUGGGGCCUGUCACCAACAACCAGUACCAACUUGCCAGCCAUAUGAUUGAGCCACCUUGGAAGUUGACUUCUAGUCCCAGUCAAGCCUUCAGAUGACAUUAGCCCGGGAGGAAAUCUUAACUGCAACCUCAUGGGAGAUGGAUGGCAGUUUGCCGUUUCAGUUCAUAGGAGCUACGACUAAAGUUCUUUUCUGGGUGAUGUCAAGACAGACUCCUGAAGCAACUGAAGCCAGAAGUUAGAACUGGCACCAUCACUGUGGGGGAUAAGAAUUUCUGGCCCACAAGGGUUUGAAUCCCUAUUCUGCCAUUUAGUAACAAGGUGACUUUGAAAGUGUGUGCUGACCUUGCAGAGCUGGCAGUUUCCCCAUCUGUGAAAUGGGAAUAAAAACAGAACUUACCCCACAGCUAGGGUUGUUGUGUGACUUACUUGAGAUAAUGUAAGUGAGGCCACCAGCUCUGUGCCUGGCACACAGUAAGCACCCAGGACAUGUGUGGGUUGUUUUCCAACAUG